GUACACGCUGUGACUAGCAUAUCAAUAAGCGGAGGAAAAGAAACUAACAAGGAUUCCCCUAGUAACGGCGAGUGAAGCGGGAAGAGCUCAAAUUUGAAAUCUUAAAGGGUUUCCCUUUACGAAUUGUAGUUUAAAGAAGUGUUUUCUGUUGAGGUUUUGGUAAAAGUUCUUUGGAAUAGGACAUCAUAGAGGGUGAGAAUCCCGUAUUUGACCUUUACUUUCAACUUUGUGAUACACUUUCAAAGAGUCAGAUUGUUUGGGAAUGCAGUCCAAAAUGGGUGGUAAAUUUCAUCUAAAGCUAGAUAUUGGCGAGAGACCGAUAGCGAACAAGUACCGUGAGGGAAAGAUGAAAAGAACUUUGAAAAGAGAGUUAAACAGUACGUGAAAUUGUCAAAAGGGAAGCGUUUGACACCAGUGUUGUUUUUCUGAAAAUCAAUUAAAGAACUGUUUAUGCUAAGUUGUUUAGACUUUAUCAGCUAUCUGUUUAGUUUUGAGCUUUUCUUUAAUGCACUUUUCAGUUAACAAGUCAACAUCAAUUUCUUUUGCUGUAAAAAAGCUUGAGGAAGGUGGCUUGAGAUUCGUCUUAAGUGUUUAUAGCCUCUUGCCUAUGCAGUCGGAGAGAUUGAGGUCUGCAGCGUAGAUCCUUCGGGGCUAAAUGCAUUUGUGCUAAGUUAUAACAUUUUAUAGACAACUUGUUGACUAUGAUUUGUCUUGUAGCUUACUCGCUUAUGUUAUUUUACCUACGCUUAGGAUGUUGACGCGCGUGUGUGCGUG
rnacentral:rRNA from 1 species